CGAACAGUCGCUCAGAUUGUUGCCCUGCGCUCGUGUGAAUGUACGGAUCCGGGAGGAAUUGGGACCUAAACAGAAAAGCCCUCGAGGCCGUCCCGGCAGCCCUGAGGAGGGAGCCUUCACCUCUUCCUAGCCACCCAUUUUACUUCUUGUGGAGGAUAUUUGCAGGAACAUAGCCCACUGAGAGAACUAGCAGAUACGGCUUUACAAGUUUUUAUUGCCUUUCAGCCCCCAUUCCACUCCUAUUCCUUGCACUGCGUCGGGAAAGGGAAUAGGAUCCCUAGGGGUGCAAAUACAGGCCAAGUCAGGGAGAGCUGUGGCUCCUGAGGGCCUCGUCUGGCUCCUCCGGGAAGUUCUGGGCCCUCAAGGAGUAGUUUCGAGGGCCAGGAGGGCGGUUAGCUGCCCUUGGCAUUUCUUUGGGGAAAUCAGUUCGCCUGUCGCGGGUCGAACUCUGUCCCCCCUGACUGCCUGCCAUCUUCUGGCGGAGAAACCCCUAAUAGGCUGCUGUGUCUGGUUAUGCUUUAGUGAGAAAAUUAGGCUUUUUAAGCUUUCUCAUUUCCUACCCUACCACGUUGUAAUUCACAAAAGUAAAAAGUAAAUCACUACAUGAUA
rnacentral:lncRNA from 1 species